rnacentral:rRNA from 1 species
GACGGGACCGCACAAGCGGUGGAUGAUGUGGAUUAAUUCGAUGCAACGCGAAAACCUUACCUACCCUUGACAUGUCCGGAAUCCUGCAGAGAUGCGGGAGUGCCCGAAAGGGAAUCGGAACACAGGUGCUGCAUGGCUGUCGUCAGCUCGUGUCGUGAGAUGUUGGGUUAAGUCCCGCAACGAGCGCAACCCUUAUCAUUAGUUGCUACGCAAGGGCACUCUAAUGAGACUGCCGGUGACAAACCGGAGGAAGGUGGGGAUGACGUCAAGUCCUCAUGGCCCUUAUGGGUAGGGCUUCACACGUCAUACAAUGGUCGGUACAGAGGGUUGCCAAGCCGCGAGGUGGAGCCAAUCCCUUAAAGCCGAUCGUAGUCCGGAUCGUAGUCUGCAACUCGACUACGUGAAGUCGGAAUCGCUAGUAAUCGCAGAUCAGCAUACUGCGGUGAAUACGUUCCCGGGUCUU